GAUGAACGCUGACAGAAUGCUUAACACAUGCAAGUCAACUUGAACUUCGGUUUGGGUGGCGGACGGGUGAGUAACGCGUAAAGAACUUGCCUCACAGAUAGGGACAACAUUUGGAAACGAAUGCUAAUACCUGAUAUUAUGAUUAUAUGGCAUCGUAUAAUUAUGAAAGCUAUAUGCGCUGUGAGAGAGCUUUGCGUCCCAUUAGCUAGUUGGAGAGGUAACGGCUCACCAAGGCGAUGAUGGGUAGCCGGCCUGAGAGGGUGAUCGGCCACAAGGGGACUGAGACACGGCCCUUACUCCUACGGGAGGCAGCAGUGGGGACUAUUGGACAAUGGACCAAGAGUCUGAUCCAGCAAUUCUGUGUGCACGAUGAAGUUUUUCGGAAUGUAAAGUGCUUUCAGUUGGGAAGAAAAAAAUGACGGUACCAACAGAAGAAGUGACGGCUAAAUACGUG
rnacentral:rRNA from 1 species